rnacentral:rRNA from 1 species
CGCGUAGGCGGUUUCUUAAGUCAGAUGUGAAAGCCCGGGGCUUAACCCCGGAAGUGCAUUUGAAACUAAGGGACUCGAGUAUGGGAGAGGGAAGUGGAAUUCCUGGUGUAGCGGUGAAAUGCGUAGAUAUCAGGAGGAACACCGGUGGCGAUGGCGACUUCCUGGACCAAUACUGACGCUGAGGCGCGAAGGCGUGGGGAGCAAACA